CCCAAAUUACAGCUAAGUGGGAAACGAUGUGGGAAGGCUUAGACAGCUAGGAUGUUGGCUUAGAAGCAGCCAUCAUUUAAAGAAAGCGUAAUAGCUCACUAGUCGAGUCGGCCUGCGCGGAAGAUGUAACGGGGCUAAGUUGUAAACCGAAGCUGCGGCAAUGUUCUAUGAACAUUGGGUAGGGGAGCGUUCUGUAAGCCGUUGAAGGUGUGUUGUAAAGCAUGCUGGAGGUAUCAGAAGUGCGAAUGCUGACAUGAGUAACGACAAGGGGGGUGAAAAACCUCCCCGCCGGAAGACCAAGGGUUCCUGUCCAACGUUAAUCGGGGCAGGGUAAGUCGACCCCUAAGGCGAGGCUGAAAAGCGUAGUCGAUGGGAAACGGGUUAAUAUUCCCGUACUUCUUACAAUUGCGAUGGGGGGACGGAGAAGGCUAGGUGGGCCUGGCGACGGUUGUCCAGGUUCAAGUGCGUAGGCUGAGUGUUUAGGUAAAUCCGGAUACUCUUAAGGCUGAGACACGACGUCGAGCUACUACGGUAGUGAAGUCAUUGAUGCCAUGCUUCCAGGAAAAGCCUCUAAGCUUCAGAUUGUAAGGAAUCGUACCCCAAACCGACACAGGUGGUCGGGUAGAGAAUACCAAGGCGCUUGAGAGAACUCGGGUGAAGGAACUAGGCAAAAUGGUACCGUAACUUCGGGAGAAGGUACGCUCUUGAUGGUGAAGUCCCUUGCGGAUGGAGCUGACGAGAGUCGCAGAUACCAGGUGGCUGCAACUGUUUAUUAAAAACACAGCACUGUGCAAAAUCGUAAGAUGACGUAUACGGUGUGACGCCUGCCCGGUGCCGGAAGGUUAAUUGAUGGGGUUAGCGUAAGCGAAGCUCUUGAUCGAAGCCCCGGUAAACGGCGGCCGUAACUAUAACGGUCCUAAGGUAGCGAAAUUCCUUGUCGGGUAAGUUCCGACCUGCACGAAUGGCGUAAUGAUGGCCACGCUGUCUCCACCCGAGACUCAGUGAAAUUGAAAUCGCUGUGAAGAUGCAGUGUACCCGCGGCUAGACGGAAAGACCCCGUGAACCUUUACUACAGCUUGGCACUGAACAUUGAACCUACAUGUGUAGGAUAGGUGGGAGGCUUUGAAGACGUGACGCCAGUUGCGUUGGAGCCGUCCUUGAAAUACCACCCUUGUAUGUUUGAUGUUCUAACGUUGGCCCCUAAUCGGGGUUGCGGACAGUGCCUGGUGGGUAGUUUGACUGGGGCGGUCUCCUCCCAAAGAGUAACGGAGGAGCACGAAGGUGGGCUAAUCACGGUUGGACAUCGUGAGGUUAGUGCAAUGGCAUAAGCCCGCUUAACUGCGAGAAUGACGGUUCGAGCAGGUGCGAAAGCAGGUCAUAGUGAUCCGGUGGUUCUGAAUGGAAGGGCCAUCGCUCAACGGAUAAAAGGUACUCCGGGGAUAACAGGCUGAUACCGCCCAAGAGUUCAUAUCGACGGCGGUGUUUGGCACCUCGAUGUCGGCUCAUCACAUCCUGGGGCUGAAGUCGGUCCCAAGGGUAUGGCUGUUCGCCAUUUAAAGUGGUACGCGAGCUGGGUUUAGAACGUCGUGAGACAGUUCGGUCCCUAUCUGCCGUGGGCGUUGGAAGAUUGAAGGGGGCUGCUCCUAGUACGAGAGGACCGGAGUGGACGAACCUCUGGUGUUCGGGUUGUGUCGCCAGACGCAUUGCCCGGUAGCUAAGUUCGGAAUCGAUAACCGCUGAAAGCAUCUAAGCGGGAAGCGAGCCCUGAGAUGAGUCUUCCCUGAUACUUUAAGUAUCCUAAAGGGUUGUUCGAGACUAGAACGUUGAUAGGCAGGGUGUGUAAGCGCUGUGAGGCGUUGAGCUAACCUGUACUAAUUGCCCGUGAGGCUUAACCAU
rnacentral:rRNA from 1 species